UCCUACGGGAGGCAGCAGUGGGGAAUCUUGCGCAAUGGGCGAAAGCCUGACGCAGCGACGCCGCGUGAGUGAUGAAGGCCUUCGGGUUGUAAAGCUCUGUGGAGAGGGACGAAUAAGGGUUGGCUAACAUCCAGUCUGAUGACGGUACCUCUUUAGCAAGCACCGGCUAACUCUGUGCCAGCAGCCGCGGUAAGACAGAGGGUGCAAACGUUGUUCGGAAUUACUGGGCGUAAGCGCGUGUAGGCUGCUUCGCAAGUCGGGUGUGAAAGCCCUGGGCUCAACCUAGGAAGUGCACUCGAAACUGCGAAGCUGGAGUCCUGGAGAGGAAGGCGGAAUUCUCGGUGUAGAGGUGAAAUUCGUAGAUAUCGAGAGGAACACCGGUGGCGAAGGCGGCCUUCUGGACAGUGACUGACGCUGAGACGCGAAAGCGUGGGGAGCAAACAGGAUUAGAUACCCCGGUAGC
rnacentral:rRNA from 1 species